rfam:Candidatus Nitrosopelagicus brevis strain CN25, complete genome.
GCCAAUGUAGCUCAGCCUGGUUAGAGCAAUUGAUUUGUAAUCAAUAGGUCGAGAGUUCAAAUCUCUCUAUUGGCU